rnacentral:rRNA from 1 species
CGAUGGCUAGGGGGUCUAAAAGGAUGGUCCCCCACACUGGUACUGAGACACGGACCAGACUCCUACGGGAGGCAGCAGUGAGGAAUAUUGGUCAAUGGGCGAGAGCCUGAACCAGCCAUGCCGCGUGCAGGAGGACGGCCCUACGGGUUGUAAACUGCUUUUAUAUGGGAAGAAAACGUCCUACGUGUAGGGCACUGACGGUACCAUAAGAAUAUGCAUCGGCUAACUCCGUGCCAGCAGCCGCGGUAAUACGGAGGAUGCAAGCGUUAUCCGGAUUUAUUAGGUUUAAAGGGUGUGUAGGCGGACUAUUAAGUCAGUGGUGAAAUCUCUCGGCUCAACCGGGAAACUGCCAUUGAUACUGAUAGUCUUGAGUACAGUUGAAGUAGGCGGAAUGUGUAAUGUAGCGGUGAAAUGCUUAGAUAUUACACAGAACACCGAUUGCGAAGGCAGCUUACUAAGCUGUUACUGACGCUGAUGCACGAAAGCGUGGGGAGCGAACAGGAUUAGAUACCCUGGUAGUCCACGCCGUAAACGAUGAUUACUCGUUGUUGGUGAUAUAUUGUCAGCGACUGAGCGAAAGCAUUAAGUAAUCCACCUGGGGAGUACGUCGGCAACGAUGAAACUCAAAGGAAUUGACGGGGGCCCGCACAAGCGGAGGAACAUGUGGUUUAAUUCGAUGAUACGCGAGGAACCUUACCUGGGCUUAAAUGCAGUAUGACUAUUCUGGAAACGGAAUUUCCCUUCGGGGCAAAUUGCAAGGUGCUGCAUGGCUGUCGUCAGCUCGUGCCGUGAGGUGUCGGGUUAAGUCCCAUAACGAGCGCAACCCCUAUUGUUAGUUGCCAGCGGGUAAUGCCGGGAACUCUAGCGAGACUGCCACCGUAAGGUGAGAGGAAGGUGGGGAUGACGUCAAGUCAGCACGGCCCUUAUGUCCAGGGCUACACACGUGUUACAAUGGUCAGCACAAAGGGCAGCUACCUGGUGACAGGAUGCAAAUCUCAAAAACUGAUCUCAGUUCGGAUCGAAGUCUGCAACUCGACUUCGUGAAGUUGGAUUCGCUAGUAAUCGUAUAUCAGCAAUGAUACGGUGAAUACGUUCCCGGGCCUUGUACACACCGCCCGUCAAGCCAUGGAAGCCGGGGGUACCUGAAGUCCGUAACCGCAAGGAUCGGCCUAGGGUAAAACUGGUGACUGGGGCUAAGUCGUAACAAGGUA